UACGGAGGGUGCAAGCGUUAUCCGGAUUCACUGGGUUUAAAGGGUGUGUAGGCGGGUAUUUAAGUCAGUGGUGAAAUCUCCAGGCUCAACCUGGAAACUGCCAUUGAUACUAUUUAUCUUGAAUAUCGUUGAGGUAGGCGGAAUAUGUCAUGUAGCGGUGAAAUGCUUAGAGAUGACAUAGAACACCAAUUGCGAAGGCAGCUUACUAAACGAAGAUUGACGCUGAGGCACGAAAGCGUGGGGAUCAAACCGG
rnacentral:rRNA from 1 species